GACGAACGCUGGCGGCGUGCUUAACACAUGCAAGUCGAACGGAAAGGCCCUGCUUUUGUGGGGUGCUCGAGUGGCGAACGGGUGAGUAACACGUGAGUAACCUGCCCUUGACUUUGGGAUAACUUCAGGAAACUGGGGCUAUUACCGGAUAGGAGCUCCUGCUGCAUGGUGGGGGUUGGAAAGUUUCGGUGGUUGGGGAUGGACUCGCGGCUUAUCAGCUUGUUGGUGGGGUAGUGGCUUACCAAGGCUUUGACGGGUAGCCGGCCUGAGAGGGUGACCGGCCACAUUGGGACUGAGAUACGGCCCAGACUCCUACGGGAGGCAGCAGUGGGGAAUAUUGCACAAUGGGCGGAAGCCUGAUGCAGCAACGCCGCGUGCGGGAUGACGGCCUUCGGGUUGUAAACCGCUUUCGCCUGUGACGAAGCGUGAGUGACGGUAAUGGGUAAGGAAGCACCGGCUAACUACGUG
rnacentral:rRNA from 1 species